UUCUGAGGUUUAGCUAUUAAGGAAAAGCUGAGAUGGGCAGGAAUGCAUAUACAGACCAUUUUUCUGCAUUAUGUCUUGCCUCUGGGUUAGACUGCGUUAUGUCUGGAGAUUUUUGUAUUAUUUCUACUUUAUUUUUUCCAAUAGAAUCACUGACAUUUCACCACAAAAUACUAACCGUGUUUCAUUUUAGAAACCUCAAGAUCCGCUGUGGCUGACCUCGUGGGCAGAACGGAGACAUUUGAGCACAAACACAGAGGCACCAAAAAGUUCUAGCAUUCUAACUGACUGCUUCAUAGUCUAGUGAAGAGAGAAAACGAAAUCUCUGAAAUUUGUUUGGAAUGGCAUCUAACAAUGUUAAAACAGUAUUUGCCAACUGGCAAGAGCAAAGUUGAUAGGUAAAGAAAAUUGUUGAAAACACUGUAUUAUAAUUGUAGUGGUACCAUUUUUU